UUUAAAUCUGAUUAAAUUGCAUACAAAGCAAUCUAUCGUCUAUAGAAAAAAAGUAUUCAAAGCACGGCAUUCGCUUUGGCUUCCUAGCGUUCUCAGAAUAAAUUAUGGAUAAAACUGAUUCAAGGUAAUUCAUUCAAUGUUGUCCCAAUUUAAAAGAGCACAUGUCGAUUAUAUGAAUAUUAUGGCGUCCAUCAAUUGCUCUUUUGCAUACUUGUUAGUAAUAUUGAAAGAAAGGAAGUAGCGGAGGUAAAGAGCAUCUGGUAUUAUUGAAAAACGUUUUUUGUAUUAACUUUAAGAAAACGUUAUCAUACUAAAAUUGGUUGGCGUUUAAAACUUUUACCAUGGGACAGAAUUGUCUUGGCGACUGUCUUAUCCUUUAAUCUAAACAGAUCUUGCAAAGAAAGUUACGAUGUUGUAACUUCCGACUUUGCUCGUAGAAAAGUUCGUGAAGUCUUGGUAAUAGUCAGAAAAUAUUUAUACCAAAUCCAGAAAUGUUUUUUUCCUUGGUUUUGUAUAAUUGUUUGAUUUGUGAACUUAAAUACAGAAUUUUUAAAUUAUUUUGUAAAGUAGAACUAGAAAAUAAGAAAAUAAGAAAAAUUAAGCUA